CCUACGGGUGGCAGCAGUGAGGAAUAUUGGUCAAUGGACGAGAGUCUGAACCAGCCACGUCGCGUGAAGGAUGACUGCCCUAUGGGUUGUAAACUUCUUUUAUGUGGGAGUAAAAUGUUCCACGUGUGGGAUUUUGUAUGUACCAUAUGAAUAAGGAUCGGCUAAGUCAUUGCCAGCAGCCGCGGUAAUUCGGAGUUUCCGAGCGUUAUCCGGAUUUAUUGGGUUUAAAGGGCGCGUAGGUGGAUUGUUAAGUCAGUGGUGAAAGUUUGCGGCUCAACCGUAAAAUUGCAGUUGAGACUGGGAGUCUUGAGUGCAGUAGAGGUGGGCGGAAUUCGUGGUGUAGCGGUGAAAUGCGUAGAUAUCAGGAAGAACACCGAUUGCGAAGGCAGCUCACUGGACUGCAACUGACACUGAGGCGCGAAAGUGUGGGGAGCAAACAGGAUUAGAUACCCCAGUAGUC
rnacentral:rRNA from 1 species